GACGAACGCUGGCGGCGUGCUUAACACAUGCAAGUCGAGCGGUAAGGCCCUUUCGGGGGUACACGAGCGGCGAACGGGUGAAUAACACGUGGGUGACCUGCCCUCAGCUCUGGGAUAAGCCUGGGAAACUGGGUCUAAUACCGGAUAUGACCACAUGUCGCAUGGUGUGUGGUGGAAAGUUUUUCGGCUGGGGAUGGGCCCGCGGCCUAUCAGCUUGUGGUGGGGUGAUGGCCUACCAAGGCGACGACGGGUAGCCGGCCUGAGAGGGCGACCGGCCACACUGGGACUGAGACACGGCCCAGACUCCUACGGGA
rnacentral:rRNA from 1 species